GCUCCCUUCGGGGAGCAAGUAGAGUGGCGCACGGGUGAGUAACACGUAGGUAAUCUACCUUUGGAUGGGGAAUAACAACCGGAAACGGUUGCUAAUACCGCAUAAUGCAGCGGCACCUAAUGGUGACAGUUGUUAAAGCGGGGGAUCGCAAGACCUCGCGUCUGAAGAGGAGCCUGCGGCAGAUUAGCUAGUUGGUAAGGUAACGGCUUACCAAGGCGAUGAUCUGUAGCCGGCCUGAGAGGGCGGUCGGCCACACUGACACUGACAUACGGGUCAGACUCCUACGGGAGGCAGCAGUCGGGAACUUUGGGCAAUGGGCGAAAGCCUGACCCAGCAACGCCGCGUGAAGGAUGAAAUCCCUCGGGAUGUAAACUUCGCAAGAACGGGAAGAAUAAGUAAGAGUUAAUAUCUCUUACGAUGACGGUACUGUUUGUAAGCUCCGGCUAACUCCGUGCCAGCAGCCGCGGUAAUACGGGGGGAGCAAGCGUUGUUCGGAUUUACUGGGCGUAAAGGGCGCGUAGGCGGCCUCUGCAAGUCGACUGUGAAAUCUCCGGGCUUAACCCGGAAAGGUCAGCCGAUACUGCAGGGCUAGAGUGCAGAAGGGGCAACUGGAAUUCUCGGUGUAGCGGUGAAAUGCGUAGAUAUCGAGAGGAACACCUGCGGCGAAGGCGGGUUGCUGGGCUGACACUGACGCUGAGGCGCGAAAGCUAGGGGAGCGAACGGGAUUAGAUACCCCGGUAGUCCUAGCCUUAAACGAUGAAUGCUUGGUGUCUGGGGUUUUAUAGUCCCCGGGUGCCGUCGCU
rnacentral:rRNA from 1 species